AUUGAACGCUGGCGGCAGGCCUAACACAUGCAAGUCGGGCGGAUGAAGGGAGCUUGCUCCUGGAUUCAGCGGCGGACGGGUGAGUAAUGCCUAGGAAUCUGCCUGGGAGUGGGGGAUAACGUCCGGAAACGGGCGCUAAUACCGCAUACGUCCUGAGGGAGAAAGUGGGGGAUCUUCGGACCUCACGCUAUCAGAUGAGCCUAGGUCGGAUUAGCUAGUUGGUGGGGUAAAGGCCUACCAAGGCGACGAUCCGUAACUGGUCUGAGAGGAUGAUCAGUCGCACUGGAACUGAGACACGGUCCAGACUCCUACGGGAGGCAGCAGUGGGGAAUAUUGGACAAUGGGCGAAAGCCUGAUCCAGCCAUGCCGCGUGUGUGAAGAAGGUCUUCGGAUUGUAAAGCACUUUAAGUUGGGAGGAAGGGCAGUAAGUUAAUACCUUGCUGUUUUGACGUUACCAACAGAAUAAGCACCGGCUAACUUCGUG
rnacentral:rRNA from 1 species